AAAAAGCUCGUAGUCGGAUUUUGGCUGAGAACGGUCGGUCCGCCGUUAGGUGUGCACUGACUGGUCUCAGCUUCCUGGUGAGGAGGUGUGCUUCAUCGCCACUUAGUCACCGUGGUUACUUUGAAAAAAUUAGAGUGUUCAAAGCGGGCUUACGCUUGAAUAUAUUAGCUUGGAAUAACACCAUAGGACUCCUGUCCUAUUUCGUUGGUCUCGGGACGGGAGUAAUGAUUAAGAGGAACAGUUGGGGGCAUUCGUAUUUCAUUGUCAGAGGUGAAAUUCUUGGAUUUAUGAAAGACGAACUUCUGCGAAAGCAUUUGCCAAGGAUGUUUUCAUUGAUCAAGAACGAAAGUUGGGGGCUCGAAGAUGAUUAGAUACCAUCCUAGUCUCAACCAUAAACGAUGCCGACUAGGGAUUGGCGGAUGUUAAUUGAUGACUUCGCCAGCACCUUAUGAGAAAUCAAAGUUUUUGGGUUCCGGGGGGAGUAUGGUCGCAAGGCUGAAACUUAAAGGAAUUGACGGAAGGGCACCACCAGGCGUGGAGCCUGCGGCUUAAUUUGACUCAACAC
rnacentral:rRNA from 1 species